CUAUUUUUCAUGUACCCUAAGACAGGGGAAGAAAACUUCCAUGAUUUCUUUAAAAAACGUUAAUUUUCGGCAUUGAAAGAUUAAUGGAGCAAUUCCUGAAAAGAGAGUAGGAGUGGUGGACUGGAAGCAGAUGUCUGUGCUGUUGAAGGAAAGCCUCAUCUUUUCCAGUUGAAGGCCAGGAGCUAGUCAAGAAACUCAAACCACAUAAAAAUCACUUUAUUUC
rnacentral:lncRNA from 1 species